UUAGAUUUUAUUUAUUAAUUUUAUUUAUUUAUUUAAUUUAUUUAAUAAAAAUAAUUUUAAAAUUUUAAGUUUUAGUAUUUUAUAAAGAAAAAAUAAUUUUAAUUAUAGUUUAUUUGUAUUGUAAAAGAAAAUUGAAAUAAUUUGAAAAAUUUUUAUUUUAAAAGAAAAUUUAAUUUAUUGUACCUUGUGUAUCAGGGUUUAUUAAAUAAAAAAUUAUUAUAUUAAUUUUUCUCGAAUUUUAAAGAUUUAAUUAUAUAUAAAAGUUACUGUGGAAUAAUUAUUUUUAAUAUAUAAUUAGAAAUGAAAUGUUAAUCGUUUUAAAAUAUAUCUAGUUUUUUAAGAAAUAAAUUUAAUUUAGACUUAUAAAUUUAAAUUAUUUAAUUAAUAUAAAUAAUUUAAUUUAUAAGAUUAAUAUUUUAAGGGAUUAGCUUUAAAAUAAAUUUUUAAAUUUUAAAUUAAUUAUUUAAUAAAUAUAAGCUUAAAAAUAGCUAUUAUUAAUAAAUUUGUUAUAAUUUAUUUUAAAAAUUUAAUUAUUUAUUAUAAAAUUAAAUUAUUUAUUAAAAUAUAAAUUUUAAUAAUAAAAAUUUAUAAAUUAUGAUAAAAUUAGUAUAUAAAAUUUUUAUAAAUAAUUAUUUAUGAAAGGUUUAAAUAAGGAAUUCGGCAAAAUAUAUAUUCACCUGUUUAUCAAAAACAUGUCUUUUUGAAUUAAAUUUAAAGUCUAACCUGCCCACUGAUAUAAAUUAAAGGGCCGCAGUAUUUUGACUGUGCGAAGGUAGCAUAAUCACUAGUCUUUUAAUUGGAGGCUUGUAUGAAUGGUUGAAUGAGAUAUAUACUGUCUUUUUUAAAAUUAUAUAGAAUUUUAUUUUUUAAUUAAAAAGUUAAAAUAAAAUUAAAGGACGAGAAGACCCUAUAGAUCUUUAUUUUUGUUAUUUAUAAAUUAAAAAGAAUUUUAAAAUUUAUAAUUUAAUAAAAAAUUUUAUUGGGGUGAUAUUAAAAUUUAAAAAACUUUUAAAAUUUAUUAACAUAAAUAUAUGAAUAAAUGAUCCAGUUUUAUUGAUUAAAAAUUUAAGUUACCUUAGGGAUAACAGCGUAAUUUUUUUUUAGAGUUCAUAUCGACAAAAAAGAUUGCGACCUCGAUGUUGGAUUAAGAGUUAUUUUUAGGUGUAGAAGUUUAAAGUUUAGGUCUGUUCGAUCUUUGAAUUCUUACAUGAUCUGAGUUCAAACCGGCGUAAGCCAGGUUGGUUUCUAUCCUUAAUUAAUUAUUAUGUUAUAGUACGAAAGGACCUAAUAUAAGAAAUAUAGAUUUUAAUAAUAUGAUUAAUAUUAAUAUUAGAUA
rnacentral:rRNA from 1 species